GACAGAGGGGGCAAGCGUUGCUCGGAAUCACUGGGCGUAAAGGGCGCGUAGGCGGGAUGGCAAGUCAGUCGUGAAAUCUCUCGGCUCAACCGAGAAACGUCGGCUGAUACUGCCGUUCUUGAGGGAUGCAGAGGAGACUGGAAUUCCCGGUGUAGCGGUGAAAUGUGUAGAGAUCGGGAGGAACACCGGUGGCGAAGGCGGGUCUCUGGGCCGUAACUGACGCUGAGGAGCGAAAGCGUGGGGAGCGAACAGG
rnacentral:rRNA from 1 species